UACGUAGGGUGCAAGCGUUAUCCGGAAUUAUUGGGCGUAAAGAGCUCGUAGGCGGUUUGUCGCGUCUGCUGUGAAAACUGGGGACUCAACCCCCAGCCUGCAGUGGGUACGGGCAGACUAGAGUGCGGUAGGGGAGAUUGGAAUUCCUGGUGUAGCGGUGGAAUGCGCAGAUAUCAGGAGGAACACCGAUGGCGAAGGCAGAUCUCUGGGCCGUAACUGACGCUGAGGAGCGAAAGCAUGGGGAGCGAACAGG
rnacentral:rRNA from 1 species